rnacentral:rRNA from 1 species
UACGUAGGGUGCAAGCGUUGUCCGGAAUUAUUGGGCGUAAAGAGCUCGUAGGCGGUUUGUUGCGUCGGCUGUGAAAUCCCGAGGCUCAACCUCGGGUCUGCAGUCGAUACGAGCAAACUAGAGUGUUGCAGGGGAGACUGGAAUUCCUGGUGUAGCGGUGAAGUGCGCAGAUAUCAGGAGGAACACCGGUGGCGAAGGCGGGUCUCUGGGCAACAACUGACGCUGAGGAGCGAAAGCGUGGGGAGCGAACAGG